AUCCAGCUGACGAGUCCGAAACAGGACGAAACGCGCGUCCUGGAU
rfam:Schistosoma mansoni, Puerto Rico, WGS project CABG01000000 data, contig: 0177